rnacentral:rRNA from 1 species
CAAUAGCGUAUAUUUAAGUUGUUGCAGUUAAAAAGCUCGUAGUUGGAUUUCGGGUGGGACGCAGCGGUCUCGCAUUGCGUUUGUACUGCUGCAGCCCUCCUUCUUGCCGGGGGCGGCCUCUCGGACUUCACUGUCUGGGGGUCAGAAUCGGCGAGGUUACUUUGAGUAAAUUAGAGUGUUCAAAGCAAGCCUACGCUCUGAAUACAUUAGCAUGGAAUAACACGAUAGGACUCUGGCUUAUCUUGUUGGUCUGUGAGACCAGAGUAAUGAUUAAGAGGGACAGUCGGGGGCAUUCGUAUUUCAUUGUCAGAGGUGAAAUUCUUGGAUUUAUGAAAGACGAACUUCUGCGAAANCANNNGUCAAGGAUGUUUUCAUNAA